AUUGAACGCUGGCGGCAUGCCUUACACAUGCAAGUCGAACGGCAGCGGACCUUCGGGUGCCGGCGAGUGGCGAACGGGUGAGUAAUAUAUCGGAACGUGCCUUUCAGUGGGGGAUAACGUAGCGAAAGUUACGCUAAUACCGCAUAUUCUCUGAGGAGGAAAGCAGGGGACCUUCGGGCCUUGCGCUGAUAGAGCGGCCGAUAUCAGAUUAGCUAGUUGGUGGGGUAAAGGCCUACCAAGGCGACGAUCUGUAGCGGGUCUGAGAGGAUGAUCCGCCACACUGGGACUGAGACACGGCCCAGACUCCUACGGGAGGCAGCAGUGGGGAAUUUUGGACAAUGGGCGAAAGCCUGAUUCAGCCAUGCCGCGUGAGUGAAGAAGGCCUUCGGGUUGUAAAGCUCUUUCGGCCGGGAAGAAAUCGCACAGGCUAAUACCUUGUGUGGAUGACGGUACCGGAAUAAGAAGCACCGGCUAACUACGUGCCAGCCGCCGCAGUAAUAC
rnacentral:rRNA from 1 species